AGGUCGGUAAAACUUCCCAUCGAAGGCCCCUAGUUUUUUAGGUUAAUUAUUUGGCAGCUGUCUAUGCGCACUUGAGUCUAAACUAAAAGACUAGGCCUUUAGAAUGACUUCCAUUACUAGGUCUAGAAUUAGAUUUAGUCUUCAUCUAUGCGCGAAUUAGAUUACUAGAUCUAGGUCUACUACUAGAUUUAGUACCUAAUUUAGUCUCGAUCUAUGCGCGAUUCCCCCCCCCUUUCCCCAGUUAAAUAAAUGUGAGCGUGCGACCCCAGGUCUAUUUGUUAUCUAUUUUUAUCUGUAUUUCGAUCUAUUUACUUUAUAUAGGCCAGGCUAGAAUAAUUUAAUUUAGUGUCUUUUCUUCUUGCAUAGGUCAGUGCUGUGUGUUUGUAGUUUCCGCUAUUUAUAACUUCUGCUAGUUUUAGUCUUUUUCUGUUAUUUGUGUUUUACUCGUAGAGGAAAAGUAGUUUUAAAAAUAGUUAACUAGCCUUAGAGUUGUUGGCACUGUUUCCAUUUCUUUGUCCCUGAUUAGUUCUACGUAUUUUUGUCUUUAGCGCUUAGGUUAGUUUGGUAGUUAUUAUCUAAUUUCAGUCUAAGUGUAAGUCUAGAAGCUGUAUAGGGUCCCUGUACGAGUUUAGAACAUAAAUAUCUUUCUUCUUCCUUUUUGUAUUUUUGUAAGAUUUAAUUUUUAAGAUUCUCUUUUUUAUGCUGUUUAAUUUGGUAUAUAAUGUUGUGUAGUCCGUGUCUUUAGUAAUUUUCCUAGAUUUUAUUAUAGCGUACGGCUAGGUACAAAUUAGGGGAAUCAGUAGUCCAGUUUAGUUUUAGGUAAUUAGCGUGACGUCAUGCUCUCCGAUAUGUUCGCGCUGACCAGUUAUAGCUAGCUCCAGAACCACGUUGAGCCCUCUUUUGUCUUGACCAGUGGUCAGUAGUGCCGGUGUAGAGUUAAUUGUGUGUAGUGUAAUUUCAGCUGGGACCGCCUGUAAGUUGGAAAAUGUUUUUAUUUUAUUUCUUUAGUUUGUAUUUGUAUUAGUUAUUCCUACAUCUACUGUUAUAGUCUAGAUGUGGACUGAUUAGUGUAGUGGCAUCACUGGCUAGUUAAUUAGCCAUGAUUGUCUAUGAUGGAACCGGAAGGUCCAUUGAGCUGGAUAGCGUCACCCCUUCCUUCCCCCCCCCCCCCCCCCCAGCUAUCCCUAAUAAUCCCCUUAUUGUUUUUCUAUACUAUGUCUAUUUGUAAAUAUUUUAUUAUCUUAUAUUCUUAUGUAUGUUUAUUUUAUUAGUGAUUCUUUUUGGUAGUUUCUGAAGCGUAGUUGGCAGAUAAUAUUAUUUUUAAUUUUGUUGUACUUUUAUGUACAAGAUGGCGGCUGGCAUAAACCGGCUCAUUAACCUAGAUCUAAGGUGUAUUGUUGUGACUUUUAUCUGAUGUUAUCUAGAUCUGUUUAUUGUCUACCCAGCCUGUGUGGGUUGUGGCGUAGACUUGACCUAAAUUCUGUGGCUUUUACUAGCUACAUAGAGGCUAAUUACUAAUAUGUAAUUACCUCAUGUCUCUAGGCUAUCCUUACUGCAGUACUGCUGUUGUUAGUCUACUGCCUGUAGGCUGUUGUUAGUCUACUGCCAUUAGUCUGCCAUCGCCUCCCUGUACCUUUUUUUGUUAUAUUUUAUUAAUUCUAAGCUUAGGUCUAGGGUAGUAAUAGUUAGAUAGUUGGUUUGGUUAGUCUGUUAGUGUUUGUAGAUUUAGAGGGUUUUAGUUAGGUGUUGAGUUCAGUUGUAGUGUUAGUGUAGCUCUAUAUGUUAUAUUUUAUUAUUGAUUUAUUUGUGUAUGUAAAUAAAGUUUCUUUUUGUUUUAUUUAUCCUAAAGUAAAA